CAUCUUUUCUUGUUAGUUUUUGAAGUAUGGCCUGCCCACUGACUUAGAGUUGAAGGGCCGCGGUAUUUUGACCGUGCAAAGGUAGCAUAAUCAUUAGUUCUUUAAUUGUGAUCUGGUAUGAAUGGCUUGACGAGACAUAAGCUGUCUUAGAGGUAUUGGUUUAUUGAAUUUGGUUUUUGAGUUAAAAUUCUUAAAUGUUUUUAUGGGACGAGAAGACCCUAUAGAGUUUGACAAUUUUCCUAUUUAUUCGUUGUUUGUAUUUAUUUACAUUGAGUGGGAGUGAAUUGUUUUGUUGGGGUGAUGGGAGGAAUAUUAUUUAACUCCUCUUUGUUUUUAUAUAUUUAUGUAUGUAUUUUUGAUCCAUUUAUUUUGAUUAUAAGAUUAAAUUACCUUA
rnacentral:rRNA from 1 species